CGAACGGGUGAGUAACACGUGGGCAAUCUGCCCUGCACUCUGGGACAAGCCCUGGAAACGGGGUCUAAUACCGGAUACUGACCUGCCAAGGCAUCUUGGCGGGUCGAAAGCUCCGGCGGUGCAGGAUGAGCCCGCGGCCUAUCAGCUUGUUGGUGAGGUAAUGGCUCACCAAGGCGACGACGGGUAGCCGGCCUGAGAGGGCGACCGGCCACACUGGGACUGAGACACGGCCCAGACUCCUACGGGAGGCAGCAGUGGGGAAUAUUGCACAAUGGGCGAAAGCCUGAUGCAGCGACGCCGCGUGAGGGAUGACGGCCUUCGGGUUGUAAACCUCUUUCAGCAGGGAAGAAGCGAAAGUGACGGUACCUG
rnacentral:rRNA from 3 species